CAGCCGCCGCGGUAAUACGUAGGGUGCGAGCGUUGUCCGGAAUUAUUGGGCGUAAAGAGCUUGUAGGCGGUUUGUCGCGUCUGCUGUGAAAAUUCAGGGCUUAACCCUGGACGUGCAGUGGGUACGGGCAGACUAGAGUGUGGUAGGGGAGACUGGAAUUCCUGGUGUAGCGGUGGAAUGCGCAGAUAUCAGGAGGAACACCGAUGGCGAAGGCAGGUCUCUGGGCCAUUACUGACGCUGAGAAGCGAAAGCAUGGGGAGCGAACAGGAUUAGAUACCCCGGUAGUCCCUGUCUCUUAUAC
rnacentral:rRNA from 1 species